UCGAGGAUCUUCGGCAAUGGGCGCAAGCCUGACCGAGCGACGCCGCGUGCGCGAUGAAGGCCUUCGGGUUGUAAAGCGCUGUCGAGGGGGAGGAACGCCCGCAAGGGCCUGACCUAUCCCUGGAGGAAGCACGGGCUAAGUUCGUGCCAGCAGCCGCGGUAAGACAAACCGUGCGAACGUUGUUCGGAAUCACUGGGCUUAAAGGGCGCGUAGGCGGUCUCCCAAGUCCGGGGUGAAAUCUUUCGGCCUAACCGGAAAAGGGCCUUGGAUACUGGGGGACUCGAGGGGGGUAGGGGCAAGCGGAACUUCCGGUGGAGCGGUGAAAUGCGUUGAUAUCGGAAGGAACGCCGGCGGCGAAAGCGGCUUGCUGGACCCCUCCUGACGCUGAUGCGCGAAAGCCAGGGGAGCGAACGG
rnacentral:rRNA from 1 species